UUUCUCAUACAUUAUAAUACUCUAUUUUCGUUAUAAAUUUCCAAAUAUACAAUUUUUUUUUUUUAGCAAACCAACCACUUCAUAUAAAGGAAUUAGCAUUCAAUACAGUGCACUUUUGCCUCUUUUGCCAGCCCAUCGGCUUGAUUAUUGAGGUCCCUGGAGAUAAACGCAAAAGAGCAUACAUCAAAUUUAACAGAGAGAGUUGGUUGGAUCGAUACAUCUAUACCAAUAUAUUGGUUGGAUUUAACUUAAACUCAAAUACAUUCUCUGAUUUCUA
rnacentral:lncRNA from 1 species